GGAGGGCAUCAGAGCCCUGGGACGGGGGGCAGACCUCUGCCCCCUGGCCAGCCUCCCCACCCUACCCCAGACACACACUCUGGGUGCCCCAGAGCCUCAUGGAAGACUGGCCAAUCAGAACCGCCCACCGCCCGAACUGCAGAUCCCCUAGAGGCCAGAACGUUGGGACUCUCAGAAGGCUGGCACCGAGGGAAAGGGGAUCUAAAGACGUCGGAGUUGGGUGGGACAUGGGUCUCAGGACUUCAGGACCUCAAUUUGGGAGACCAGGUGGAAGUGAUGGCUUAAGUGAGGUGGGGAAGUGGGGGAGACCUCAGCGACCAGCAAAACCCGCAGGUCUCUAGGACCCUGAGCUGAGACAUGAUGGCCACGCAUUGCUCCCACACUGUGCGCACGUCGGCGCGGUAGCGCUCGCAGGACCAGAUGAAGGAGGGCAGCAGCAGCGUCUGUGCCAUGGAGCACCACAGCACAGCCAGCACCAUCCAGGGGGGCGCCGAGUCCGACUUGAGGGAGAAGAAGCUCACCACCUGGGGAAGGGUGGGAGCGGGCUGGGUCAGGGCCAGAGCUGAGGAGCCCACCUGAACCCCAUAUCCUAGUGCAGCUGGUGGGCAAGACGUCAGAAGUAAUGCCUGAUCCCUGUGCUCCAACAGAGGCGAAGCCGGAGGUGGAGAUGGAGUGAACAGAGGGAAGGGACUGACUCAGAGGAAGGUCGGGGAGAGUGCUGGAGACAAAGCCCUGCGGUCAGGAGGGAGAGGAACAGAGGUGGACCAGGAACCGUAGAGACAGACAGGAACCCAGGAACAGUGACUAGAUGGGGUGGUGGGGUGAGCCCUGUGGGAUUUCCAGCCAAGAGUGCUCAGAGACCAUGUGGCAGCCCGAGGGAAGGAGGGAAUGGAGAGUGGAGCCCAGCGGCUGGAUGAGAGGUCUGCGGCUGAACCGUGGAGCUGCAGGAUGGAUGACGGAGCUGGAGGACAGGUCGUGGAACUGAAGGACGGUGAUGGAGCUGAGGAGUGGGAACUGAAGCAGAUGCUGGAGCUGGGGUAAACAGGGUAGUGGGAACUAAAAGACAGAUGAUCAAGAUGGGGGCCACAAAUGGAGUGGGGGAUGGACAGAGGAGAGGAAGAUGGAUGAUGGAACUGGAGGAGAGAUGACGGAGCUGCUGUAUGGCUGAUGAAGUUGGAGGUCAGGUGAUGAUGCUGGGGCCUGGAUAUUGGGGAGAACAGGUGGGGAGGACCCCGAUCUCACCAAGAUGGGCACCCCUGUGAGUGAGUCAUAGAGAAAGACGAUGGCGCUGACCAAGUUGGUGACCUGCAGGGAUGUCUUGGCAGACUCCGAGCCAUCCAGCGAGGACCGCCGCUUCCCUCGGGCAUCCUCCACCACAAUGGCUGGUACCUCAAAAGCUGGCCGGGUACCCAAGGCCCCUGGCCCACCCGCUUUGGUCCCCCCACCACCCCCCACUCUCCGGGCCUGCCGAGCCCUCCGGGGCCGGGCCCACAGUGUCUGGUAGAAGGUGAUGGCCACACAGACCAGACCCAUGACAAUUCCCCCAAGUAGCAAGAGGCUGAAGCAAACGCCAAAGCCGAGGCCGAUCUUGGAGACUAUGAACUGGCAGCCGCGGGCAUAGUAGCGCUCGCCGUUGUUGUGCCAGCCAAUGGAGGGCAGUGUGGAGAGGAUGAAGCUGACCAUCCAGAUGCCCAUGACGGCAUGCAGUGCCUGCUUCUUGGCGUUGCUGAGGCGGUAGUUGACGGGCCAGCGCACCAUCCACAUGCGAUGGUAGGAGAGGGAGGCGACCGUGAAGCAGGUGGCCAGCGCCAGGGUGUAGUAGGUGGACACGAAGACCUUGCAGAUACUCUCGUUCCAGUCAUAGUCGGAGGAAGCCUGACGACGCAGCUGCACCACGGCAAAGGUGGUGAGGGGCACAGCUGCCAUGAGUAUGUGUGUGCCCGCUAGGAAGCAGAGCAGCAGCUCCAGUGGCUUGUGCUUCUGCUGCUUGGCCGAGAUGCUGAGGAUGAUCCAGGCAUUGGCCAGCAGCGCCAGGAGCCCACAGGCCAGCCAGGACAAUGCGUUGGAGCGCAGGGAGGCCUCCUCUGCCCCCGCCCCGCCCCGAGCCAUCCUAUCCUCAGCCCCCCACCCCCUUGAGCUCUGUGGGGGUGGGGGCUAGGUCUCACCCAGGAGCCCCACUCACAAACACUCCCAUGAUCCCCACAAUCCUCGCCCUGUCAGCAGGCAGGCUGCCCCCAGGCUCACCCCAGUGCUCAGCAUUGCAUGAUGGACCCAGCUGAGGGCAGAUGUAGAGGGCAGGGGAGGAGACUGAGGGUCAGCAGAGGCAAUCCUCAGCUUUCAUACUGGGCGGGGCCUUCCUUAAGCAUCCCUGCAAUUGAUGGGGCAGGCAAGCUGGCUACUUUCCCAACUAUGAGGCUGGCUGGGGGGUUCUGGUCCCCAUGCUGGGACUUCCAGGUCUCUUUUGCCUCUGGUUCUUGACCAGUCAGGAAUCUUCUGGAUGCCCCAGGGAUUUGGGGGUGGGGCUCAGCCCCCUGGACAGGCUGCAAGGGAAAGAUGAGAUGUGGGAGGGAGAGGGCAAAGGUAGGGCCUGGGCUGGUCUCCAAUCAGCCUCCUGUGCCCCCUUUCUUGAAACUAUAGGCAUGACUGAUUACUAAGGCCCUGAGGGUCAUUCAGAACAUUCCUUUGCCUUAACUCUGACAGCUAAACACCCCACACAGAUGAGAGCCGCACUCUUCCAGACCUCUAGGGAAGAAGGUAUUCCCACCUCCCUGUCUCCUUUAGCCCUUCCUCCUCCCGCUGGAACUCCCAGGUUCCUUCUUAGAACAUCCCCUGCUCAGCACUACUCCACCCCUAUCUUCAAGUCCCUAAAUGUCUCUUCAGAACUACUGAUGGGAGACACAAGACUGGUUUCCUCUUGAGGGUUCACAGUGAACUGGGAUAUGGCAUCACAGCCUUCCUCCCCUACCUGCCGGUCUCCUGGAUGCAGGGGUCUUGGUGCUUAGCCCCUACUUCCCCAAACCUGGGUGAUCACCCUCCAGCUACCCAUAUCUGGGAAAAUGGGAGAAAGGAGUCUGGGACCGAAGGGGGUGCUAGGGAACCUGAAGGCGGGGAAACCGCUGACAUCAGAAGCAUCCAGAAAUGGAAAGAGGGGGAACUAGGGAGAAGGAGGAGAGUUUGAGCAGAAGAGAAAGAGGGGGCAAAGUGGUAGUAUCUGAAAAUAGCAGGAAAAGCUCAAACCCCCUGGAGAGGAGGCUUUGGAGGGAGGAGGGACUGGAGGAGGGAGGGAGGGAGGGAGCAGGGAAUAGGAGGCUGAGAAGAAAAGCCAAAUGUUCAAUAAGGUGCUGACUCCCCGUGGGGAGACCUUGACUCUUCCUCCCUGGCCCAGAGCCUCAGUUUCCCUCUCAUGGGAGGAAGGAUGGUCCCAGUUUUAGUGCGUGAUGCUGAGCUUCAGUGAGCCCUGGGAAGGGGGGUAAGGGAAUCGGGUGAAACCCUGAACAGAGUGGGGCUGUAAGGAAGCACAUAAUGGCUUUAGGGUAAGUGGGGUAAAAAUGGGGCACAGCAGUGAAAGGGUCUGUUUCCCAUGGAAGCAGCUCAGACCCUUGCUUUCCCCAAGAGGUCCUGGUCCACCCCCACCCUUGGCUUCCCUCCGGAGCCCAGUACACCCUAGUUGCCAUGGCAAUGGCCAGCCAGAGGGAGGUGGAGGGACUUGGCCAAGAGCAGCCCCCAGUGUCCUCUCCUACAGCCCUGGACCCCUUCCCACCCACCUCCACCCAGGCCCAGCUGGUGGGCUCAGGAUGAAAGAGAUAGGGAGUCAGAGAGGGAAGGAGGCAGGAAAGAUGUGAAGGACAGAGAGAGGGAGGUGAAGGACAGGGAGAGAUCAGAGGAAGGUGGGAAGGGGGAUCUGGGAGGUUCCCUGGCCGACGGGGUCCCUCGCCCUUUGGGGUGAAGGGGUAAGGUCAGGCGGCUCCUCCCUCCUGUCCCCCUCCAGGUUCUCCAGGGCAGAAACAGCAGGUGGCUGGGGAGGAGGGGCCGGCCUAGGGGAGAGGAGGCAGCUUGAGGGGGAAAGGGAGGCAACACAGGGGACGGGGCAGGCAGGGGUCGUCUUACCUCUCUCCGGCUGCGCCCAGCACUGCCAUGGAGACCGCACUCCCGACGCGGCUCUCUCGGGCUCCCGCUGCCUGCCGGCUCCAGCUCGCCCGCCCUCCUCCCUCCUUCCCUCUCUCCCUCCCUCCCUUCCCCCGGGCCUCCCUCCUCCCCCUCAGUCCCGGCCUCCCAGGCUCAGCCCACGGCUCACUCGGUCUCUGCCCCUCUCACUCUCCAGGACCCUCUCUCCCGGG
rnacentral:lncRNA from 1 species